rnacentral:rRNA from 1 species
CAGGGAAUUUUGCGCAAUGGGCGAAAGCCUGACGCAGCAACGCCGCGUGGGGGAAGAAGGCUCUCGGGUCGUAAACCCCUUUUGCCGGGGAAGAUAAUGACGGUACCCGGCGAAUAAGCCACGGCUAACUACGUGCCAGCAGCCGCGGUAAUACGUAGGUGGCUUUAAGCGUUGUCCGGAUUUAUUGGGCGUAAAGGGCGCGCAGGUGGCUCGUUAGGUCCGAGGUGAAAUCUCCCGGCUCAACUGGGAGGGGUCUUCGGAUACUGGCGGACUUGAGGAGAGCAGAGGUGAGCGGAAUUCUCGGUGUAGUGGUGAAAUGCGUAGAUAUCGAGAGGAACACCAGCGGCGAAGGCGGCUCACUGGGCUCCACCUGACACUGAGGCGCGAAAGCGUGGGGAGCAAACCGGAUUAGAUACCCGGGUAGUCCACGCUGUAAACGAUGGGCACUAGGUGUGGGGGGUAUUGACCCCCUCCGUGCCGAAGCUAACGCAAUAAGUGCCCCGCCUGGGGAGUACGGCCGCAAGG